rnacentral:vault_RNA from 1 species
GAGCCAGCUCAGCCCAGCGGUUCCAUCAACCAACACAUAGCUUAGAUCCUGCAAUCGCCCACAGCAGUUUGAAACCCGUUGGUGCUGCCUGGCUUU